rnacentral:rRNA from 1 species
UACGUAGGGGGCAAGCGUUGUCCGGAUUUAUUGGGCGUAAAGAGCGUGUAGGCGGCCAUGCAGGUCCGUUGUGAAAACUCGAGGCUCAACCUCGAGACGCCGGUGGAAACCGUAUGGCUAGAGUCCGGAAGAGGAGAGUGGAAUUCCUGGUGUAGCGGUGAAAUGCGCAGAUAUCAGGAAGAACACCCGUGGCGAAGGCGGCUCUCUGGGACGUGACUGACGCUGAGACGCGAAAGCGUGGGAGCAAACAGG